rnacentral:rRNA from 1 species
GACCCUGUUCAACGGCCGCGGUAUCCUAACCGUGCGAAGGUAGCGUAAUCACUUGUUCUUUAAAUGUGGACUAGUAUGAACGGCAUCACGAAGGUUAUACUGUCUCCUUUUUCUAAUCAGUGAAACUAAUCUCCCCGUGAAGAAGCGAGGAUGAGAAUAUAAGACGAGAAGACCCUAUGGAGCUUUAAACAAAGUAGCACUCGCCACAUAAAUAAGAAAUUCCAGAAUCAUCAUCUGCUUCAGGCAACCUGACUACACGUUUUUGGUUGGGGUGACCGCGGAGCAUAAUACAACCUCCAUGUUGAAAGAAAGUUUUCUAAACUAAGAAUAACACCUCUAAGUAUCAAAAAAUUGACAUCCAUUGACCCAAUAAACUUGAACAACGAACCAAGUUACCCUAGGGAUAACAGCGCAAUCCACUUCAAGAGCCCCUAUCGACAAGUGGGUUUACGACCUCGAUGUUGGAUCAGGGUAUCCCAGUGGUGCAGCCGCUACUAAAGGUUCGUUUGUUCAACGAUUAAAACCCUACGUG